rnacentral:rRNA from 1 species
CUAGUAAUCGCGAAUCAGAAUGUCGCGGUGAAUACGUUCCCGGGUCUUGUACACACCGCCCGUCACACCACGAGAGUUUACAACACCCGAAGUCAGUGGCCUAACCGUAAGGAGGGAGCUGCCUAAGGUGGGGGUAGAUGAUUGGGGUGAAGUCGUAACAAGGUAAC